UGGGGAAUAUUGCACAAUGGGCGAAAGCCUGAUGCAGCAACGCCGCGUGAGGGAUGACGGCCUUCGGGUUGUAAACCUCUUUUAGUAGGGAAGAAGCGAAAGUGACGGUACCUGCAGAAAAAGCACCGGCUAACUACGUGCCAGCAGCCGCGGUAAUACGUAGGGUGCAAGCGUUGUCCGGAAUUAUUGGGCGUAAAGAGCUCGUAGGCGGCCUGUCGCGUCGGAUGUGAAAGCCCGGGGCUCAACCCCGGGUCUGCAUUCGAUACGGGCAGGCUGGAGUGUGGUAGGGGAGAUCGGAAUUCCUGGUGUAGCGGUGAAAUGCGCAGAUAUCAGGAGGAACACCGGUGGCGAAGGCGGAUCUCUGGGCCAUUACUGACGCUGAGGAGCGAAAGCGUGGGGAGCGAAC
rnacentral:rRNA from 1 species